rnacentral:rRNA from 1 species
UACGUAGGGUGCAAGCGUUAAUCGGAAUUACUGGGCGUAAAGCGUGCGCAGGCGGUUUUGUAAGUUUGUCGUGAAAGCCCCGGGCUCAACCUGGGAAUGGCGAUGAAGACUGCAAGGCUUGAAUCUGGCAGAGGGGGGUAGAAUUCCACGUGUAGCAGUGAAAUGCGUAGAGAUGUGGAGGAACGCCGAUGGCGAAGGCAGCCCCCUGGGCCAAGAUUGACGCUCAUGCACGAAAGCGUGGGGAGCAAACAGG